rnacentral:rRNA from 1 species
CCUACGGGAGGCAGCAGUGGGGAAUAUUGCACAAUGGGGGAAACCCUGAUGCAGCAACGCCGCGUGAGCGAUGAAGGCCUUCGGGUCGUAAAGCUCUGUCCUAAGGGAAGAAUACUGACAGUACCUGACUAAGAAGCCCCGGCUAACUACGUGCCAGCAGCCGCGGUAAUACGUAGGGGGCAAGCGUUAUCCGGAAUCACUGGAUGUAAAGGGUGCGUAGGCGGUAGGGCAAGUCAGAUGUGAAAGGCUACGGCUCAACCGUAGUAAGCCUUUGAAACUGUAGGGCUUGAGUGCAGGAGAGGAGAGUGGAAUUCCAGUGUAGCGGUGAAAUGCGUAGAUAUUGGGAGGAACACCAGUUGCGAAGGCGGCUCUCUGGACUGUAACUGACGCUGAGGCACGAAAGCGUGGGGAGCGAACAGGAUUAGAUACCCGAGUAGUC